rnacentral:tRNA from 1 species
GCGGAGGUGCCGGAGCGGUCAAACGGGACAGGCUUAGGUCAGUCCAACACUAUUAAGGUGUGCUGAGGCGAAAGCCGAUGAAUGUAAGACACCUGUUAGCUUAGUGCUUACCCAGGUUCGAAUCCUGGCCUCCGCA